rnacentral:rRNA from 1 species
GUCAGAGCCAUUUCUCCCUGCAGUUCUUGCCUGAUUUCCCACUGAAGCUAAUUAGGGUUGAGCCUGGCUAGUACAUGUAUGGGAGACCUCUUGCAGAAAACUAAGGUUGCUGCUGGAA